rnacentral:lncRNA from 1 species
GAAGCACAUCGUCAUGCAAUUCAGCUUCCAAGUUGGCCUCGUCUUCCAUUUCAUUGGCACACUCAUCAUCUGGUACCUCAUCCAAAAGUGUAUACCUUGUGUGGACUUGAGGUAUACACGUGCCAUCUUCUUGGGUUGGCAGCAAACGGAUCUCCUGUAAAGCUUCAGUAAUUUUCCUCAUUGCAACAUGGUACGCAUCA